UACAGAGGGGGCAAGCGUUGUUCGGAAUCAUUGGGCGUAAAGCGCGCGUAGGCGGCCUGGUAAGUCCGCUGUGAAAGUCAAAGGCUCAACCUUUGAAUGUCAGCGGAUACUGCCAGGCUAGAGUCCGGAAGAGGCGAGUGGAAUUCCUGGUGUAGCGGUGGAAUGCGCAGAUAUCAGGAGGAACACCUAUUGCGAAGGCAGCUCGCUGGGACGUAACUGACGCUGAGACGCGAAAGCGUGGGGAGCAAACAGG
rnacentral:rRNA from 1 species